UACGUAGGUGGCAAGCGUUGUCCGGAAUUAUUGGGCGUAAAGCGCGCGCAGGUGGUUUCUUAAGUCUGAUGUGAAAGCCCACGGCUCAACCGUGGAGGGUCAUUGGAAGCUGGGGAACUUGAGUGCAGAAGAGGAAAGUGGAAUUCCAAGUGUAGCGGUGAAAUGCGUAGAGAUUUGGAGGAACACCAGUGGCGAAGGCGACUUUCUGGUCUGUAACUGACACUGAGGCGCGAAAGCGUGGGGAGCGAACAGG
rnacentral:rRNA from 1 species